AUUGAACGCUGGCGGCAUGCCUUACACAUGCAAGUCGAACGGCAGCACGGGUGCUUGCACCUGGUGGCGAGUGGCGAACGGGUGAGUAAUACAUCGGAACAUGUCCUGUAGUGGGGGAUAGCCCGGCGAAAGCCGGAUUAAUACCGCAUACGAUCUACGGAUGAAAGCGGGGGACCUGCGGGCCUCGCGCUAUAGGGUUGGCCGAUGGCUGAUUAGCUAGUUGGUGGGGUAAAGGCCUACCAAGGCGACGAUCAGUAGCUGGUCUGAGAGGACGACCAGCCACACUGGGACUGAGACGCGGCCCAGACUCCUACGGGAGGCCGCAGUGGGGAAUUUUGGACAAUGGGCGAAAGCCUGAUCCAGCAAUGCCGCGUGUGUGAAGAAGGCCUUCGGGUUGUAAAGCACUUUUGUCCGGAAAGAAAUCCUUGGCCCUAAUACGGUCGGGGGAUGACGGUACCGGAAGAAUAAGCACCGGCUAACUACGUG
rnacentral:rRNA from 1 species